rnacentral:rRNA from 1 species
GUGCAGCCGCCGCGGUAAUACGAAGGGUGCAAGCGUUACUCGGAAUUACUGGGCGUAAAGCGUGCGUAGGUGGUUGUUUAAGUCUGAUGUGAAAGCCCUGGGCUCAACCUGGGAAUGGCAUUGGAUACUGGAUAGCUAGAGUGCGGUAGAGGGUAGUGGAAUUCCCGGUGUAGCAGUGAAAUGCGUAGAGAUCGGGAGGAACAUCCGUGGCGAAGGCGACUACCUGGGCCAGCACUGACACUGAGGCACGAAAGCGUGGGGAGCAAACAGGAUUAGAUACCCUGGUAGUCCACGCCCUAAACGAUGCGAACUGGAUGUUGGGCUCAACUUGGAGCUCAGUAUCGAAGCUAACGCGUUAAGUAUUCCACCUGGGGAGUACGUUCGCAAGAAUGAAACUUAAAGAAAUUGGCGG